rnacentral:rRNA from 1 species
UACGAAGGGGGCUAGCGUUGCUCGGAAUCACUGGGCGUAAAGCGCACGUAGGCGGCUUUCUAAGUCAGGGGUGAAAUCCUGGAGCUCAACUCCAGAACUGCCUUUGAUACUGGCGACCUUGAGUCCGGGAGAGGUGAGUGGAACUGCGAGUGUAGAGGUGAAAUUCGUAGAUAUUCGCAAGAACACCAGUGGCGAAGGCGGCUCACUGGCCCGGUACUGACGCUGAGGUGCGAAAGCGUGGGGAGCAAACAGGAGUUAGAAACCCC